AAUUAUUGACUUUUUUAUCAUGACAAUUUAUCAUGAAGAUACUGAAGAUAGUGAUUUAUGUUUUUUUUUGGAUUUUAGGCUCUGUUCAGAGUGAGAAAUGUUACAAUAAUGCAAUCAAUGGUGUAAUUUUGUCAUGGUUUUGUUGUAAUAAUCACGAGGAGAAGAAUGGCACGUGUAUAGAAUGUGACAUUGGGUAUGUUUUAAAGGACGGAUUUCCUUGUAUGCCAUGUUUACCGGAAAGAUGGGGAAAGAAAUGCGGAUACCUUUGUAGCUGUCAAAAGAACGAAAGGUGUGAUAGUGUAUAUGGAUGUGUUGAGAGAACUGUUAUCUCAGGUAACACGAGAUUUUUUUU